rnacentral:rRNA from 1 species
UCCGUAGGUGAACCUGCGGAAGGAUCAUUAUUGAUUUUAAAGGAUGUGCUGGCAUUUAUGUAUGUGCACUCUGAACAAAACCAAUAUCCACCUGUGCACACUUGUAGGCAUUGUUUUGCCUAUGUUUCUUCACAAACAACCAUUGAUGUAUCUGAAUGCUAUUUGAUAAAUUGUAAUACAACUUUCAACAACGGAUCUCUUGGUUCUGGCAUCGAUGAAGAACGCAGCGAAAUGCGAUAAGUAAUGUGAAUUGCAGAAUUCAGUGAAUCAUCGAAUCUUUGAACGCACAUUGCGCCCCCUGGUAUUCCGGGGGGCAUGCCUGUCCGAGCGUCAUUACAACCCUCAAGCUCAGCUUGGUAUUGGGCCCCGCCGACCCGGCGGGCCCUAAAGUCAGUGGCGGUGCCGUCCGGCUCCGAGCGUAGUAAUUCUUCUCGCUCUGGAGGUCCGGUCGUGUGCUCGCCAGCAACCCCCAAUUUUUUCAGGUUGACCUCGGAUCAGGUAGGGAUACCCGCUGAACUUAAGCAUAUCAAUAAGCGGAGGA